rnacentral:ncRNA from 1 species
UAGUGCACAAUCUGUGAAGCGUUUUAAAAGGGAAGCCGGUGAGAGUCCGGCACAGUCACCUCUACUGUAUUGCAGACAAGAAAACGAAUGCCAUUGGCAGGACAGAAUGCCGAGAAGGUGUUUUCAAGGAUGAAGCUGAGUCAGGAGACCUGCCAUAACAAA